UUUCAAAGUAGAAUGUGAAGAAAAGAAGAGAAAUCAAGAGAAAAUUCAAGGUUGAAAGAGAGUGAAUAGUAACCAAGGGGUUGGAAAUUUAAAGGUAUGUUAGGAGUUUUUGUUGUAGGGAUAUUUCUUAUAAUUUUAUGUGAAUAUUUAUGAGAAAUAUUGUAUUAAGUUGAUUUAUUGGUUUUUUUUUUAUGAAGAAGAAGUGGAAGGGAAAGGAAAAGAAAAGGAAAAUUAGGGAAUUUUAAGCUUGUGUAAGAUCUUGGGAAGGUUUGUGCUCAACUCUAUUUCAAUAAAUUCAAGAAAUUGUUAUUUAUGUUCUAUUUGAAAUUUUACUACCCUAAUAGAAAAAUCAAGUUGUUGUCCCUUAAAGCAACCCAAGAGGGGGGUGAAUUGGGUUUAUAAAAAAUUUAAAGGGAAAAGCACAAAUUAGAAGGCAAUGAGGAAGAAGAUAAUCAACACAA
rnacentral:lncRNA from 1 species